AUGAUUGACCUAAAUGAGUUGCAAGUAGAAAUUGACCCUCAGAUGCAAAUUCCUGACAGCAGUAAUCUUGGAGAUCAUGUAUUCUGCACACAGCACAACAACCCCCGUGGUGGUGCUGAGUCGCCUAAUCCUAUGCUUACACAAAAUGUUGCCACACCUGUGACAGGCACAGUGGACAGGGAUGAGCACUCCACUGUUGCUGGGGGGACUGCAAGAGGUGCAGCUGUCCCUAGAGAAGAAGCAACAGAUACGGAUGCGCACACCCUUGAUGUCACAGCGAUUGCAGAUGAAACUGGAGGGACUAUUGGAAAUGGUUUGGCAGGCUUGGAAGGUGAAAACGACGACGAAGCUUGGUCACAGCCUAAGGAACCAUAUGUUGGAAUGAGGUUUGACACUGUGGAAGGUGCCAAAGAACACUACAACACAUAUGAUUUGCAACUUGGGUUUUCUGUCAAGAAGAACACUUUGAGGAAGUCUGUUAAAACUGUUGAGCUGAUAAAGCAGCAAUUUGUGUGCAAUAAGUUUCGCAAACCUAAAGUUGAUGAUGGAGGAGCAGAAACAAUUCCUGCCCUAGACAAGAUUGUAGAAGAAGGUGAAAAUAUUGAUGAAGAGGAUGAAAUUGUCUUUCUUGAUGAUGAAAGCAAACUAAAAAAGAAAACCAAGAAGGGGAAGCGGGAUAUAGUAGUGCAAACAGGUUACAGAGCCAAGAUGGUGGUGAAGUUAUUAGAUAGCCGUUGGGAGGUCAUUUACUUUGUUGCUGAGCACAACCACCGGUUGGUUGACAAACCAUCUUUGACUAAGUACCUGAGAUCACACCAAGGGAUCCCACCAGAAGAAAGGGCUUUCCUCACACAUCUCCAUAAUUGCAACUUGACAACAGGUCGUAUGAUGCACAUCAUGUCAGAUUACUAUGGAAAGGAGCUGAUUGUUCCUUAUGGUACUAAACAUAUUUCAAACUUGAAGUCGGAACUGAACAAGCAUGCCACGAAAGAAGGUGAUAUGAUUAAGACAGUUGCCUACUUUAAAGACCAGCAAAUAGAGGAUCCAGAUUUCUUUUACAAGAUAAAGUAUGAUGAGGAGGACAGGGUGGAGAAUAUUUUCUGGGUUGACAGCGUAGCAAGGAAGGCUUAUGUAGAGGCAUACCACGAUUGUAUCUCAUUUGACACCACGUACAUGACUAACAUGUAUAACAUGCCCUUUGCACCAUUCAUUGGAAUUAAUCGGCAUGGACAAUCAUUCAUGUUGGGCUGCGGGUUUGUGAGGCAAGAAUUGGCUACAAGCUUUGAUUGGCCGUUUGGGACCUUUCUUGAAGCAAUGCAUGGUCUAGCACCUACUAAUAUCAUAACUGACCAAGACAACGCGACGUCACAGUCAAUUAAAAGGAUGUUCCCAGCAAGUGUCCACCGUUGUUGCCGUUGGCAUAUAAUGAAAAAAGCUCAAGAAAACCUUGGUGCCUUGUUGGGGCAAAAGCCUGGAUUGUCGAAAGAUUUCAACAACUGUAUUGACUUCAGCUUGACGCCGGAG
rnacentral:rRNA from 1 species